UACGAAGGGGGCUAGCGUUGCUCGGAAUUACUGGGCGUAAAGCGCACGCAGGCGGCUUUCUAAGUCAGAGGUGAAAUCCCGGAGCUCAACUCCGGAACUGCCUUUGAUACUGGAAAGCUUGAGUUCGGGAGAGGUGAGUGGAACUGCGAGUGUAGAGGUGAAAUUCGUAGAUAUUCGGAAGAACACCAGUGGCGAAGGCGGCUCACUGGCCCGAUACUGACGCUGAGGUGCGAAAGCGUGGGGAGCAAACAGG
rnacentral:rRNA from 1 species